CGCACAUUGCGCCCCCUGGCACUCCGGGGGGCACGCCUGUCCGAGCGUCAUUUAACAAGUCAAGCCCCGCUUGGUAUUGGGCGUAGUCCUAGGACCCGCCCGUAACCCGUCGGCGGUACCGUUCGGCCCCGAGCGUAGCAAGCCUAUCCGCUCCGGGAGCCCGCGGCGGUGCCCGCCAGGCGAACCCAACCCCCUAAACUUUGACCUCGGAUCAGGCGGGGAUACCCGCUGAACUUAA
rnacentral:misc_RNA from 1 species